UUCCAUUGUAAGUGUCUCACUGGAACACACAUUUGUGCUUUUUUAAAGAAAAGGAGGAACGAGUCGAAAUUCAUUUUUGUGGUAAUCAACAUUAUGACACAAAUGCUGUCCAUUGAGCUGAACUUGUAUUGAACCCAGAAUAUUCCUUUAAAAUAUGUUUUUGCCCAGCAAACACAGAAUUUUCCCUUAACGUUAGCAUAUGGUUCCGAAGGGUUAUUUUUAUUUUUUGGGAACUAAUUGCAAACAUUCUAGGAACGUUCUCUUCAGGUUCUAUUUUUUAUAACCAUAAAACAUUUUUAGGUUUUAUUUUUUGUUGUUGUUACUUUUAAUGUAUAUUUUUCAUUAUUCUAUAUUUUAUUCUUUUUUAUAAACAUUGCAGAAAGGUUGAUAGACAAGACUGACAUUAGUGCAGCACAGCAUUUAAUUAAAUGUAGAAAUAAAGAUCACAGUGUAUGGCAUUUAAAUGCAUUAUAAUGAACAGAUGAGAAAAUUAUCCAUAAAUCAUAUAAAAUGUGUGAAAUUUCAGCGAGAUUAAAUAUAGAAAUAUCCUCUUCAUCAUAUCGCGGCCCACUUUGUCAGCACCACUUUCCCGGUUCUCCCGAUGGCCUGUCCGCCUCUGUUUUUGGGCCUCCAUCUCUCCUGCCAGUAGUUAUGCCACUGGCCACCAUCAUUGUGUCCUUGAGCAAGGCACUUAACUCCAGGUUGCUCCGGGGAAUUGUCUCUGUAAUAAGUGUACUGUAAGCUGCUUUGGAUAAAAGCGUCUGCCAAAUACAUAAAUGUAAAUAUUAAAGCUCAGUUCUGGGAACCAAAAAUAGUUAGUUGGGUAGCAGCUUGUGAAGUUUUAUUUAAUUAUGGGACAGAGAUUGAUGUCUGAAUCUGGAGCACAUUGUUGUGAGAGCUAUUUUAAAUGAUCUAUUUAAAAAAUGAUAAGUCUUUGAGCAACUAAGAUGAUUUUCACCACUGAUUCAAAACUUUAAUUUCCUCUUGUUCUGUGUUUCUUGUUUUACAGGAAAGAAUCAGUUGUAUCAAAAACAAACAUGACUGACAAACGUGCUCACAUGCGUAGAGUCGUGUCUAAAGACGGGCACAAUAACGUAAAGAUCGAUAACGUGGAGGGGAUGGUGAAGCUCUUCCUGCACGACAUCUGGACCACAGUGGUGGACAUGAAAUGGCGCUAUAAGAUCACUCUGUUUGCCUCCACGUUUGUCAUGACGUGGUUUGUCUUUGGGGUAAUUUUCUACCUCAUUGGUUUGAGGAAUGGUGAUUUCAAUGCAGACCCGUCUUCCAAUCACACACCAUGCGUCAUGAACGUGGAAACGCUAACGGGCGCGUACUUGUUCUCUCUGGAGACUCAAACCACCAUCGGUUAUGGGUUCCGUCACAUCUCAGAGGAGUGUCCCCUCGCCAUUGUCACGCUGGUCAUCCAGCUGGUCAUCACAGGACUCGCCGAGAUCUUCGUAACCGGCGCAUUUCUGGCCAAGCUGGCACGACCCAAGAAGCGCGCUGGAACCAUUAAGUUUAGCCAGUCAGCGGUGGUCUGCAAGCGUGACGGAAAACUGUGUUUGAUGGUGCGAGUGGCCAACAUGAGGAACAGCCUGUUGAUUCAGUGUCAGCUCUCGGGUAAACUACUAUCGCCUCAUGUCACCCAAGAGGGUGAGAAGACCCUGAUCCACCAGACCGGCGUGGACUUUCAUCUGGACUCCAGUGAUGAGUGUCCGUUCCUGCUUCUGCCACUCACGUUCUACCACGUUCUGGACGACAGAAGUCCGCUGGCCGGCCUCACGGCUGAGAAUCUCCUGACGCGGGAGUUUGAGCUGCUGGUCACUCUUAAUGGGACGAUGGAGUCCACCGCCGCCACUUGUCAGAGCCGUACGUCUUACGUACCACAGGAGAUCCUGUGGGGUUACGAGUUCAAACCCGUGCUCUUCAAUACAGCGGGCGGGAAACUGGCUGCAGACUUUGACUUCUUUGAUAAAGUUCAGCCCUGCAGUGACCUGCCGAUGUUCCAGAACUUCAGUGAGAAACUCCAGCUGGAAGAGGAAUACAGACGGGAGUGAAGGGAUGAGACGAGUUCAAGAAUGUGCUUCACAACAGACUGAACUCUGAAAAACAAGCCACAAAAUGAGCUGGAAAAUUAUCUGACGAGUGUAAAUCAUUAUGGACGUUCAUCUGGACUGUAAGCAGCCAGAUGAUCGUAUCUUUAUCUGAUUCCUUCAGUGUGGAACUUUGGCUUCUGUUUCUGUGGAAUACAUCAGGAUCAUGAAAGACGGACCACCAUUAAUUGGACCACAGAUUUACAGCACCAAAGCUCUAAAUUUUUACAUGAAAUCAAAAGUAAAUCAAUGUAGUCUCUUAAUAAGCAUGCCUUGUGUUAUCAGUGUAGGUUAUUCUAAAGAAAAAAUUGUCUUUAUAAUCUUUCAUCAAAAUGAAAUAACUUGCUCCGCCUCUGAAACGACUUUCCUUUUCCGCUGAUGUCUCCAAUGCUACUUAUAGAGCGCAACAGUCUGGAGCCAGAAGUAAAAAUCUCAUUCAUUUUCUCCAUAGGUGAAUUUAUUAUUAACAAUAAUGUAUAAACAUUUAAAGACAGACCUACCAUGAGCUCUGAGGUUGUUAAUCAAUGGAAUAUUCUCAGUCCACGUAGAUAUCCUCUAUUUUAAUAGUAUUUGUGUUAUUAAUUAUUUUUAAAAUGUGUAACAUUAACAUGACAGUAAUUUAAGCACAGCCAGCUCUGCUGUCCCCCACGAGUGGGUGGGGCUUCCUUGCUGACCGUAUCACAUCAAAAGAGCUCAUUUAGCUCCACCUACUCCCAUGAUGCCCUGCGAAUGACACAAUCGAGUCGCUCUCCCUACUCUCAAACUACUGAUAUAUUUGCAUACAUCUGAAUAUUUUGCUAUUUACUUUAAACAUAUUGUUUCUAUACUUAGAAUCAACAACUUUAAAUCAAUAGUUUUAUACUUUUCCAUCAUUUUUAAUUUGGUUACGUCAUUCGCAAUGGUUCAUGCGUUUGUAGUUCACAGUUUUGUAUCUUUUGUCUUUUUGUCUAAUUUUCAAAUACUUUUUUGCUUCAAAUCAAAGUUUGUAAUUUUGUGAUUCACCUCGGAGCUGGCUGGUUUACUUCACAGCUUACAGCUCUGAUUUUAUGAUAUCACUAUGAAAAAAAUGAAUGGAAAAAUAGUUCCGGAACCAAAAUGGCUGAAAAAGUGGACGGGUACUGUUGAGCCCAUCAUAUAGACAGCACUUUACAUGCCCCAAUCAUGUAUGUUGGAUAAAAUCAAGUCCUCUUUUUCUGUUAAAUAUCCUAUUUCCGCUGACUAUCACACCUGGAGUCAUGAGUUUGAAUCCAGGGCGUGCUGAGUGACUCCAGCCAGGUCUCCUAAGCAACCAAAUUGGCCCGGUUGCUAGGGAGGGUAGAGUCACAUGGGGUAACCUCCUCGUGGUCGUGAUUAGUGGUUCUCGCUCUCAAUGGGGUGUGUGGUAAGUUGUGUGUGGAUCGUGGAGAGUAGCAUGAGCCUCCACAUGCUGUGAGUCUCCGCGGUGUCAUGCACAACGAGUCACGUGAUAAGAUGCACGGAUUGACGGUCUCAGAAGUGGAGGCAACUGAGACUUGUCCUCCACCACCCAGAUUGAGGUGAGUAACCGCGCCACCACGAGGACCUACUAAGUAGUGGGAAUUGGGCAUUCCAAAUUGGGAGAAAAGGGGAUAAAAGAAAAAAGAAAGAAAAAAGAAAAGAAAAGGAGGGACGAGUCGAAAUGCAUUUUUGUGGUAGUCAACAUAAUGCCACAGAUGCUGUCGAUUGAGAUUAACUUGAAUUGAACCCGGAAAAUUCCUUUAAUAUCUUAUGUCAAUUUAUUGCCAAGUAAAUGUAUCUUGUUUUAAAGGUGUUUAGAUAUUUUACUUGAAAACAAGACAAAAGUACUGAGUAAGUAAAUGAGUCAUUUGUGGAAAGCCGAGGGUUCGUCUGUGCUGUAACUUCAUCAUAGAAUCAUAGUGUGAUAUAAUUAAACAGAUGUGUAGAAAUGUGGAAAUGAUGAUUAACCUUUAAUAUUUCUGCUUUGUCAAAUCUGUGGGUGUUUCUAUUCAUGUCAACUGUCAGUGCACUUAAGGAACUACAGGACAUCAGUGUGUUGACUUUACCUUAAAGAGCAGCGACUCUGACACACUGUUUACAUCACUGACGUAUGAAAGAUUCCGACGAUCGUGUCACACACUGAAAUAAAAAACAGAAGCAGCAUGGCUGGCAGAUAAAGUGUGAUGUCAUCAGUAUGAGUGUAUUAACAGCUGUCAGUCAUUCACUCACUCAUGU